CAGAGAGUAGUUUAUUAAAAAUAUUAAUUUUGGAGAUUAAUGAAAAGGUUUGGCCUUCUCUCUGA
rnacentral:tRNA from 1 species